GAUGAACGCUGGCGGCGUGCUUAACACAUGCAAGUCGAACGGAAAGGCUCCUGCUUGCAGGGGUACUCGAGUGGCGAACGGGUGAGUAACACGUGGGUGAUCUGCCCUGCACUUCGGGAUAAGCCUGGGAAACUGGGUCUAAUACCGGAUAGGACCACAUUUUGGAUGGUGUGGUGGAAAGUUUUUCGGUUUGGGAUUAGCUCGCGGCCUAUCAGCUUGUUGGUGGGGUAAUGGCCUACCAAGGCGUCGACGGAUAGCCGGCCUGGGAGGGUGUACGGCCUCAUUGGGCCUGCGAGACGGCCCAGACGCCUACGUGAGGCAGCAGUGGGGAAUAUUGCACAAUGGGCGCAAGCCUGAUGCGGCGACCCCGCGUGGGGGAUGACGGCCUUCGGGUUGUAAACUCCUUUCGCUAGGGACGAAGCGCAAGUGACGGUACCUGGAGAAGAAGCACCGGCUAACUACGUG
rnacentral:rRNA from 1 species